UGCAGUCGAGCGAUGGAUUAAGAGCUUGCUCUUAUGAAGUUAGCGGCGGAAGGGUGAGUAACACGUGGGUAACCUACCCAUAAGACUGGGAUAACUCCGGGAAACCGGGGCUAAUACCGGAUAAUAUUUUGAACUGCAUAGUUCGAAAUUGAAAGGCGGCUUCGGCUGUCACUUAUGGAUGGACCCGCGUCGCAUUAGCUAGUUGGUGAGGUAACGGCUCACCAAGGCGACGAUGCGUAGCCGACCUGAGAGGGUGAUCGGCCACACUGGGACUGAGACACGGCCCAGACUCCUACGGNAGGCAGCAGUAGGGAAUCUUCCGCAAUGGACGAAAGUCUGACGGAGCAACGCCGCGUGAGUGAUGAAGGCUUUCGGGUCGUAAAACUCUGUUGUUAGGGAAGAACAAGUGCUAGUUGAAUAAGCUGGCACCUUGACGGUACCUAACCAGAAAGCCACGGCUAACUACGUGCCAGCAGCCGCGGUAAUACGUAGGUGGCAAGCGUUAUCCGGAAUUAUUGGGCGUAAAGCGCGCGCAGGUGGUUUCUUAAGUCUGAUGUGAAAGCCCACGGCUCUACCGUGGAGGGUCAUUGGAAACUGGGAGACUUGAGUGCAGAAGAGGAAAGUGGAAUUCCAUGUGUAGCGGUGAAAUGCGUAGAGAU
rnacentral:rRNA from 1 species